UACGUAGGUGGCAAGCGUUGUCCGGAUUUACUGGGCGUAAAGAGCGCGCAGGCGGUCGUGCAAGUCGCGUGUGAAAGCCCCCGGCUCAACUGGGGAGGGUCACGCGAUACUGCUCGACUCGAAGGCAGGAGAGGGAAGUGGAAUUCCCGGUGUAGUGGUGAAAUGCGUAGAGAUCGGGAGGAACACCAGUGGCGAAGGCGACUACCUGGACCAGCACUGACACUGAGGCACGAAAGCGUGGGGAGCAAACAGG
rnacentral:rRNA from 1 species